AAUGGCUUAGUCAGUUAU
rnacentral:misc_RNA from 1 species